UCAUAAUCAGUGAAAACGAGUAGGGCGGGACACGUGAUAUCCUGUCUGAAUAUGGGGGGACCAUCCUCCAAGGCUAAAUACUACUGACUGACCGAUAGUGAACCAGUACCGUGAGGGAAAGGCGAAAAGAACCCCUGUGAGGGGAGUGAAAUAGAACCUGAAACCGUGUACGUACAAGCAGUAGGAGCACCUUUGUGGGUGACUGCGUACCUUUUGUAUAAUGGGUCAGCGACUUAAUUUUAGUAGCAAGGUUAACCGUUUAGGGGAGCCGUAGGGAAACCGAGUCUUAACUGGGCGUACAGUUGCUAGGAUUAGACCCGAAACCAGGGGA
rnacentral:rRNA from 1 species